ACGACAGAAAGGAGCUUGCUCCUUUGACGUUAGCGGCGGACGGGUGAGUAACACGUGGGCAACCUACCCUAUAGUUUGGGAUAACUCCGGGAAACCGGGGCUAAUACCGAAUAAUCUCUUUUGCUUCAUGGCGAGAGACUGAAAGACGGUUUCGGCUGUCUGGGAAAGCCACGGCUAACUACGUGCCAGCGCCGCGUAAUACGUAGGUGGCAAGCGUUGUCCGGAUUAUGGCGUAAAGCGCGCGCGGCGGUCUUUAAGUCUGAUGUGAAGCCACGCCUCACCGUGAGGGUCAUUGAAACUGGGGACUGAGUGCAGAAGAGAAAGUGAAUCCAAGUGAGCGGUGAAUGCGUAGAGAUUGGAGAACACAGUGCGAGCUAUUUCUGGUCUGUACUGACGCUGAGGCGCGAAGCUGGGAGCAACAGAUAGACCCUGUAGUCAACGCGUAAACAUGAGGCUAGUGUUAGGGGUUCCGCCUUAGGCUGCAGCAACGAUAAGCCUCCGCUGGGGGGAGGCCCAGAUGAAAUAAAGGAUGACGGCGCCGACAGCGUGGACAUUGUUAAUCGAGCACGAAGACUACAGUCUGCAUCGUGACACUGAGAGAUAUAGUUUUCCCUUCGGGGGCAACGGUGACAGGUGGUGCAUGGUUGUCGUCAGCUCGUGUCGUGAGAUGUUGGGUUAAGUCCCGCAACGAGCGCAACCCUUGAUCUUAGUUGCCAUCAUUUAGUUGGGCACUCUAAGGUGACUGCCGGUGACAAACCGGAGGAAGGUGGGGAUGACGUCAAAUCAUCAUGCCCCUUAUGACCUGGGCUACACACGUGCUACAAUGGACGAUACAAACGGUUGCCAACUCGCGAGAGGGAGCUAAUCCGAUAAAGUCGUUCUCAGUUCGGAUUGUAGGCUGCAACUCGCCUACAUGAAGCCGGAAUCGCUAGUAAUCGCGGAUCAGCAUGCCGCGGUGAAUACGUUCCCGGGCCUUGUACACACCGCCCGUCACACCACGAGAGUUUGUAACACCCGAAGUCGGUGAGGUAACCUUUG
rnacentral:rRNA from 1 species